AUCGCUUCUUGGCCUCUUGGCUAAGAUCAAGUGUAGUAUCUGUUCUUAUCAGUUACAUAUCUUAUGCGUCCCCUAUCUGGGGACCAUAUAUUUAAUGGAUUUUUGGAACAGGGAGAUGGAAGAAGAGCUUGCUCUGUCCACUCCAAAACACUUUCUUGGGAACGAUAUUAGAUUUACUAUCU